ensembl:lncRNA
GCAGUUUUUAUAAACUGACGUCCCUCGUUGCCCCUUAGGGCUGUGCACUCAAUCGAGCCACAAGGUGCAGGUUUUCAGAUUUGGAUUCGCAGUACCGGCCCAGGGCCCUUGAUUCGUGUGCCUGUCGUUCCAGGGUUUUUCAACCACUUGGUUUCUAUCCAUGGACUCCAAGUUAAGAAUGUCUGGUAAAGAAUCUCUGUAUAUGUCAGUUUUCAAAGCACAAGAUUUGGAAGAUCCAGGAUUUUCAAACACUACUCUAAUGGCCAUGCAGUGGUUUUUCUGCUGCUUCCUUGACCAUUUCUUUAUUUCACAAGGUCACAGAUGCAUGUUCUCUAUAGUGGAGAGGAAAAGUAGAAAUGUUAAUGUUUUCCUUCUUAUUCCCAGCUGCACUUACAUUGCCCCAGAAGAGAACUUUAAAUUACUUGUACAGGAAGAAGAGAAUGAUGAACUCAGAAGACAUUCAGUACAGAGCCUAUAAUGACAGACUGGUAUUUUCAAAUGAACCAUCUUCCAGUUCUUUCAUUUUAUACCAGAGGAAACAAAUAGAUGAACUGACUGCUACUGGUAGUGGAACAGGUUAUUGAGGAAGGCCUAGAUCCCGGUUUUCCUGGUCUGUCUCCAGUUUUUUCUGAUGAUUCCCCACCCAAUGACUAGAUAGGAAAUGAGCUGCUCAAGAUGAAACUUAGUGGCAGCAUUUUUACUAGACUCCUGUAACAGUAUUCUUUAGAUUAAUACAUUUUGCUUCAUAGAACUAAAGGUUUUAGAAAAUUAUGUAUCUCUUUGUACAGUUGUAAGAUGACACCUAAAUUUGUCAUCUUAAAUUUAGGACAUUAUGAAGGACAAAAAUUUGGGCAUAUUAUAAAUAUCAGCAUUCUUUAAUGAAACAUCAUCCAUUUAAUUAUAUUCACUUGAAUGUAACUUUGAUACCUACUAUCAUUUAUGAAAUACCUGAAAAUUUUUUUAAAAGACAAUUUACGUCACUUUCUUCUUUCAUUUCCAUUGUACACCGAAUAUGAUUCUAAUAUGAUCUACAUAUUGGUCACUUAACCAUUUUUUGCAACAAAAGUAUGUCUACUAAUGUUUUAAGUUUUAAAAUUUCCUGGGAUCAAUUCUUUUGGAAUGUUACCUUUCCAUUACAAAGCAGAAAAAAAUGACAUGAAUGAAUCUUAAACUUUGAUUAAAAAGUACAGAAUAUGGACUGGGGAUAUAGCUCAGUGGUAGAGCACUUGCCUAGGGUGUGGAAGGUCCUGUGUUCAAUCCCAGCACGGCAAAAUAAAUUAAUAAAUGUACGUAGAUAUAUAGAUUUAUGGAGAAAGAAUAAGAAAGUUGUAUUGAAAAUGCAACUUUAAAAAGAUGCCUGGUAUGUCAUAUUUCCACUAAUGACAGGACUGCUGUAGUCACCACGAGACAGUUUCCAAGUCUACUUUGUAAAACCGUCAGAUGACAACCUUUUAGGGAGCAAAACUAGCAUAUAGAAGUGUUCUGUAACUUGCCUCCUCAAAGGUGACGUGCUCAAGAUUCAGAAGCACAGCCACUCACUCCUAUUUUAUGAACUACUCACGACGAAUGUCAUCCUUUGCCUAAAUUGGAGAAAAGGUGGAUUUAAUGAGACAAAUGAGAAAUUUAACCUAAUAGUAAAGACUCAGACUAAAAUAUUAUAUAUGUAUUCUUGUGUGUGUGCGUGCACACACACGCACAGACUGUACUUUAAAAAUCUCUGUACCCUGCAAUAGACAGCACAGCUUCCCUACUGUGUUUAUCCACUCUCGGGACAGCCUGGUAAGUUGGCCAUGGGGCCUCUAGGGUAGAUUGCUACAGACUGCGAGAAACGUCACCCAUUUUGUUCGGUGUGCCAUGCAAAUAUUCUCAUUUUCUACAGAUACAAUGAUGUAGGAAAGAUUGGGAAACCCUAAUCCCAGGGAAAUCCAUUUUUGGAAAAAUCCAAAUAAAGGCUAGUGGUAAUAGAUUUUUAGUAUAUGCCAGAGAACAUGAGAUCCCCACUUAAUCAUGGCUUGGUUUCCCAGACAAUCCUUACUCAGGUUGCGGUGGUUUCAGUUACCUACAGUCAACUGCCGUCCAAAAAUACUAAAAAGAAGAGUAGAAAUGAACAAUUCACAGGUUUCCAAUUGCAUGCCAUUCUGAGGAAACCUUACAAAAUUUCUUCAUCCUGGUCCAUCCGCCUGAGCUAUGAAUCAUCCCUUUGUCCAGUGUCUCCACACUGUAUACUCAGCCUCCCCGUUAGUCACUUAGUAGCAGUCUCAGUUAUCAACCUAGUAUUAUCUUUAUUUUCAGGCACCUAGUAAGGGUCUUGGAAUGUACCUUCCGCAGAUAAGAGGGGACCACUGUAACUAUAAACUAGUAUUUAGGAGUUGAGGUGUAUCAUAGCUGAUAACUUUCUCUGACCUGAGACACUUUACUAAUAGGAAAUCAUAGAGCUGUACAGAAUAAUUAGGAAAGCUGGGAGAAAAUUAUUAAAAAUUAAGAUUGUGAAGUCCAUAGAUUGAUAAGGCAGUGGUAGAUGGCCCUCUGUGUCCAGCCCUGUGUAGAUGUUGGUGUUCAGGAGCCGUGGAGAACUGGCUUGGAGAGUCUAGAAAUCUGAAGUUCCUGGCUCUGCUUGGCUUAUGAUUUUGGACAAAAGAAUUCUUCUUGGCCUCAGUUUCCUUGUUUAU